GCUCGGUUACGCGGCAGCUAGUAAGUCAGAACACAACAGUUCACCGGCGGCGGCGGACAGUGAAAAUGUGUGCGCGCAUUAAGUGAUUUUUCCCGUGGGUACUUAACAACUUUCGAACGCGGCUGAUUGUUUUUUUUUUAGUUUCUGACAACAACACGACCACGGCCGGCAUUCAAUAAUAAAAAUUAAAACAAAACAAAAAAAAAACAACGAACGCGCGUUGCUUCAAAAUUCGAGUUCUGAGCGCAGCGUCUAACAAAAACGAGUUAUGAACAUUUCCUUUGCUUAGUCGAGCCUAUUUGUUAUGGUGUUACAAUUUGUUGCCUGCUUUGUUGUGUGAAAAUACGAGCAAUAGUGUAAAGUGUCGCGGCAUAGAGGCACAAGAAAAAUCUUGUUACAUUAGAUGUAUACUUCUUCCUCCUUUUUUUUUUUGGGAAGUAAAGAAAAAUUGAUUUAAUUAUAAAAAACGGAGCAGCUCACGCGCGCGCACCAGUGUGCAAAAUAGAAAGAAAAUAUUUAAAAAAUUAAUAAAUCAAAAUAGCAGCAGCCGCCGUAGUAAUUAAAUAGCUUUAACAAGCAAACAGUGCAAUUAAACGCGUGUGAGUGCAAUAGCGCGCGGUGUGCGACGUCGAAAGGCGCAUAACGGCAGGGCGGCGUUUUUGGAACUACGGCUUAAGAGCGCCCAGAGUUUUAGAGGCUUGCCGCGCAAUAAAAAAAAAAACACUAGCACGGCAGCGGCGGUAGUGGCGGCGACGGCACUUAGUUCCGUUUAGUUAAUAGGGCGUGCAUGCGCGCGCAUGUAAUUAACACUUUUUUUUUGGAGGCCUAACACGCGCGCUACUGAGCUGCUAAGAAAAAAUCGCAACGCCAAAAAAAAUAUUGUGAAAUUCAAAUGCGAUAGCAAGCAUGAAAAUGUAGAAAAACAUAGCAAAAGUGUGUGAAAGUGUUAGCGCAAAAAUGAGUGUGUACUAAUAACAAAUCAAACCCGACAUCAAAAUUAAUGUGGUGUGCCAUGAUAACAAAAACUCCACACGCGAAUUCUCUUCCCCUCCAACACCAUUCAUCCGUGCGCUCAUCAUCCACCUCACCACUAGCACCUCCAUUGUAAGCGAAUCGUUGAUGCGGCUCGUCAUUUGCCUCCCUUUUCCCCAAUAGUUUCUUAUCGCGUUGGCUGCUCUGUUGUUGCUGUUACUGCUGCCGAGUGCAGCAGUCCUGUGUGUCCAGUCCCAGCAGUCAUUUAAGACGAUUCCGUGCGAGCUUUUCAUUCAUUCACAAAUCGACUGCCGAGCGCUAGUGUUGUGUCGGCGCUGACUGACGCAUCGCUUGCAUGUAACAAUUUUAUUCUCAAAGUCGCAACUCAUUCAUGAGACGCGCGCGCGUUCCGUCGUCAUUCGCAGUGAAUGCUGAUUGCUAGAAGUGAUUGUAUGAAAAAGCAAAAAAAAAAAAAAUAAAAAAUAUAAAACACAAAUUAAAACAUAAUAAUAAAAUUAAGUAUGAAAACAAAUGCUUAAAAAAUGAAAAACAAACAACUACAAAUUGCAAAUGUUUAAUAAAACGCAAUAUUCAGUAUACAAUAUUUGUAUGUGUGUUUGUAUGUACGCUCAUUAAAAAAUCAGCUAAUCGUAUAUUUACCUCGUCUAUAUUCACUGCGAGCGCUGCAAUUAACGUUUAUAAAAUUGAUGAAAUGUGCAUGAGAGAUUAAUAACGGCAUUACAAUCAGCCAUAAAAGUUACGAAUGCGUGAAAACACAGCGAGGAACGGCUGUAAAAUAUACUCACUCGGUCAGCAGUGUAUGAGAACCCGCGCAUUCAGGCGUCUCCAUAUCCGAUCGUUAUCUACCACAUAUGCGCCACAAAAUUGUCGUGUAAACAAAUUCCUCGCUUGCGUCUGCAGAAUAGUGUCAAGUUGCGUUUAAUAGCGAUUCGCGAACGGACCAACAAUAUACAUAUGUACGAGUACAACGGCGAUCGGGCAGCAAUCAGCUAGAGCUAGCCACUGAGCGAGCCAGCCACAGCCAUCGAACCAAUUCGCCAGCAACGCGCUGCCGAACGGCGGCGCAUGGAGCUUGGGAUUGCCCGCGUGUCUGCGAGUGCGACAAAGGCGAUUACAAGCGCGAUUCCAAACUUUAGCAGAUAUCAAUCCACACGCUGAGCAUAAUUAAUUUGCCUUAUGCCAUUUGUGUCGGUCAGUAAGUAGUGAGUACUUACUUGGUGUGCCCCGUAUACAGAACCCCAGCCAGCGACGAAACUUGAUUAUUGAUCACGUACGCGUCCGUAUCUGCCCGCCGCGGCAACGCGCUACCGACAGCGUCUGCCUACUGCUCUAAGCGUUUGCAAACUCACAUAAAUAAUUGUAUAUUUGUAAACAUAUAUAUUAGUUCAUUGGGUUUGUAGAUAUGCUCACGCGAUUGCUCUGAAUAUUGCCACAUAUUUAUGUAUGUAUGUAUGUACAUACAUUUGUAUGUCCAUAAUUAUAAACUUAAGUUUUUGCGUGCGCGUAACAAUCGAUGUUCUACAACAAAAUUCUACAAAUACGUAUUAUAAGUGUACUACGUAAAUAUGCAUACAUAUGUAUGUAUGUACGACAAGGAGAAUAAAUAAAAUUAACAAUAACAACAUCAAAGCCCACAAACAAUAAGCUGCUGUGCUCCACCUCGCAAUGCUAUCGAGUCUGCUCGCAACAAUUGCUACUCUAUAAACGAUAUGAUUAUGCUGGUAUGUAUGUAUGUACAUAUGUAUUUAU